AAAAGCCUGUUUAGGCUACCCCAUUUAAGUGAGGAAAAGUUUAUAUAUUUAAUUCUUUUUCUUUUUCCUUAUUUUUCUUUCCCGUUUUCUUUUUCCCUCCCGCGAGCCCGAGCCAUCCCCGACGCCUUCCCCUCGGACCUGACGGCUGUGCCCUAACCGCUCGGCGCCGGUUGUUUCCUCCCUUCCACUCCUUAUUCUUCUCCACUUCGCCUCACAGUGCCGAGUUCUUUCUCCUCUUGGCAGCGUCGCCGGCCACCUCCUCUGUACCGGCCACCAGAUCUGACCCAGCAUCGUUGUCGCCUUUGCCCUAGCGUCGCCAACCGAGCCUUCUCCGCCGCUGGGAUCAAGACGUGCCGCUCGACCUUGUGAGCCGACGCCGACUGUCGGCCCUCCUUCUGAUUUUCGCGACACUGAGCCCUAUUUUUUGAAGCCGUCGUCGCCACUGGAUCGCCGUCGUGCCCUAGCUAGUAGCCGGCGUUGCACAGAGUAGAGCCACCCCUCACUGCUUCGCCUCUUCUCUGUUCUUGAGCAAUCCUUCGUUGUGGUAGAAUUAGGUCACGGUUAAGGUAAGUUUGAUUCUUGGUUUUUGGAUUUUUGUUCUUGAUCAGAAUAGAGUAGUUGUGAUCAAGAAAUUUGCGCUUGUUUUCUAGCAUAAAAACUUGGGAUUUCCAGCAGCAAUCAUUUUGUGUUGGCAGCAACAGUCCUGGUGUGGAUCAACAAGCACAGCUACGAGAUAGGACUUGCUGUGGGGUUUUCUUGGUUCAACAAUUUAAUCCAGUAAUUGUUUACAUUAGAUCCAGCAGCAACUACAGUUGUGAAUUGAGAUAAGAGGACUUUGACGCGAGACGAGUAUCUCGGAGUCAGAUUUGGA